GAAGGCUGAAAUUCGCCUUCAUGAAGCUGGAAUUGCUAGUAAUGGCAGGUCAGCAUACUGCCGUGAAUACGUUCCCGGGCCUUGUACACACCGCCCGUCACACCAUGAGAGUUGGGAAUACCCGAAGCCUGUGAGCUAACUUAUAGAGGCAGCAGUCGAAGGUAGAAUCAAUGAUUGGGGUGAAGUCGUAACAAGGUAAC
rnacentral:rRNA from 1 species